GAUGAACGCUGGCGGCGUGCCUAAUACAUGCAAGUCGAGCGAACAGACGAGGAGCUUGCUCCUCUGACGUUAGCGGCGGACGGGUGAGUAACACGUGGAUAACCUACCUAUAAGACUGGGAUAACUUCGGGAAACCGGAGCUAAUACCGGAUAACAUGUUGAACCGCAUGGUUCAACAGUGAAAGACGGUCUUGCUGUCACUUAUAGAUGGAUCCGCGCCGCAUUAGCUAGUUGGUAAGGUAACGGCUUACCAAGGCAACGAUGCGUAGCCGACCUGAGAGGGUGAUCGGCCACACUGGAACUGAGACACGGUCCAGACUCCUACGGGAGGCAGCAGUAGGGAAUCUUCCGCAAAGGGCGAAAGCCUGACGGAGCAACGCCGCGUGAGUGAAGAAGGUCUUCGGAUCGUAAAACUCUGUUAUUAGGGAAGAACAAAUGUGUAAGUAACUAUGCACGUCUUGACGGUACCUAAUCAGAAAGCCACGGCUAACUACGUU
rnacentral:rRNA from 1 species